rnacentral:rRNA from 1 species
AACAGGAUUAGAUACCCUGGUAGUCCACGCCGUAAACGAUGGGGACUACGUGUGGGAGGUGUCGACUCCUUCCGUGCCGUAGCUAACGCAUUACGUGCCCCGCCUGGGGAGUACGGCCGCAAGGCUAAAACUCAAAGGAAUUGACGGUUGCCCGCACAAACAGCGAAGCAUGUUGUUUAAUUCGACGCAACGCGAAGAACCUUACCUAGGCUUGACAUGACCCUGUAACUCCUGGAAACAGGAGCCCCUCUGAAGAGGCGGUGCCACAGGUGGUGCAUGGCUGUCGUCAGCUCGUGUCGUGAGAUGUUGGGUUAAUUCCCGCAACGAGCGCAUCCCCUGUCCUAUGUUGCCAGCGGUUAAUGCCGGGGACUCAUAAGAUACUGCCGGUGACAAACCGGAGGAAGGUGUCGAUGACGUCAAGUCCGCAUGCCCCUUAUGUCUAGGGUUACAAACGUGCUACAAUGGCCGGUACAAAGGGCUGCAAUACCGCGAGGUGUAUCGAAUCCCAAAAAGCCGGUCCCAGUUCGGAUUGGAGGCUGAAACUCGCCUCCAUGAAGUCGGAGUUGCUAGUAAUCGCGGAUCAGCAAUGCCGCGUUGAAUACGUUCCCGGCUCUUGUACACACCGCCCGUCACACCACGAAAGUCGGUAACACCCGAAGCCGGUGAUCUCAACCCGCAAGGGAGGCAGCCGUCGAACGUGGGAUCGGUGAUUGAGGUGAAGUCGUAACAAUGUAACC